CCUGGCGGCCGUAGCGCGGUGGUCCCACCUGACCCCAUGCCGAACUCAGAAGUGAAACGCCGUAGCGCCGAUGGUAGUGUG
rnacentral:rRNA from 6 species